GGGGUUUUUAAACUUCCGAUGUUAGGGUGCGACGAUCUCAACAGGAUGGUGCGGAACUUCUGGUGGGGUUCAUCUGAGGGCAAGAGGAAAACGCAUUGGACGGCUUGGCCGAAUAUUCUGGCUCAUAAAAUGAAGGGCGGUUUGGGUUUCAAAGACUUCCAUCUCUUUAACCAAGCCCUCCUGUUACGGCAGGCGUGGCGACUUCUAUCUAAUCCUAACAACUUAUGUGCGCAGGUCCUCAAAGCCCGAUAUUAUCCGGACGGUCGACUGGAGGACACUGUUUUCUCUGGUAACGCAUCCCCCACAUGGCAGGCCAUCCAGUACGGCCUUGAGCUCCACAAAAAGGGGAUUGUCUGGCGAGUCAGAGAUGGACGGAACAUACGCAUUUGGCGCGACGUUUGGCUCCCAACGGUACCGACGGCCCAGCCGAUCACGCAGCAGGGGACUUGCCGUCUUCGCCGGGUCUCAGAGCUCCUGGAUGUGUCCGGCGCCUUGCGUACAGAUGUGCUACAGCGGAAUUUCCUUCCGGCAGACGUUGCGACCAUCACCAACAUUCGCACGUCUCCUCGCAUCACCGACGACGUCAUUGCAUGGGCUCCGGAGAAGAACGGUAUCUUCACCGUUCGCUCUGCAUAUCGGCUCGCCAUGGACGAGCGCGAGCGUCCACUGGCGACUGCAACGAGCAGGGCACCGAAUGGUCGUCGCGCCAUCUGGAGGACCAUAUGGGGGUGCCCUGCUCCCCCAAAGGUACGCGUCUUCGCAUGGAGGCUGGUUUCCAACUCACUCGCUACCUGGUCAAAUAAAUUCUCUCGUCACCUCGAGCUUUCUUACGUGUGUCGUCUUUGUGGUGUGGAACGAGAGGAUGGCUUCCACGCAAUGUGUAGGUGCCCCCUGGCGAAAGAGUUGUGGCAUGCUAUGGCGCGGGAUUGGCCCAUUCCCAAGGUGGAGAAUAUCAUACAUACAGGUCCGUUCUCACUACUGGAGCCUCUACCUGACACUACAGGUAUGAUAGUCCUCAUGGUAAUGUGGCGUGUGUGGCAUGUGCGGAAUGAAAUUACUCAUGGCAAAACUCCACCUCCAACGGAAGCAUCUCGCAGAUUUCUGCAAGGCUACAUCAACUCCUUGUUGUGCAUUCAUCAGUGGCCCCAAGGUAACAUGGAGAAAGGAAAGAUGGUUGUUCAGGUUGGUCUUCUGGCGCCACAAGAGUGCGUACAAUAG
rnacentral:rRNA from 1 species